AAAAAACGGUAAUGCUACCGGUCGUCCGAACCCAUCGGACGAGCACGUCGGCAAUCCGGAUGGAUGGUAGGCAAUUGCUCCACGGCUUAUCCUUUCUAUCUCUACCUUUUCUGCUCUCACCUCGCUACUCCCCUGCCGCUGCUGUUGCCCACGCCUAUGCGUUCGCAUGCCGCUCCUCCUGCGGCCCGCCCCAUGCCACAACGGCCGGUGAGCCUCCCUCCCUCCCCUCUGCGAUCUUCGUGCUCUCCAUGCGAACGGAGUGGAUGCCACAACGGUCGGUGUGCCAUCCUCUCCCCCCCCCCCCCCCCCCCCCCCCCUCUGCGACCCGGAGUAGAGGUGAAGGAGGCGGCUUCCAGCGAGUCGCGCACCUCCCUCUGCUCUCUCUUCCUCGCUCUCCGACCUCCAUGCAUCUGGAGAGGAGAGAAAUGGUGGUGACUUUCGGCAAGGUCUAGAUCUAAGAGAUGCGACAGUGGCUAGGGUUCCGGCAAGCUCUCAGGUUCAGAUCUCGCCGUGUUGUAAUGGUUCUCUCUUGAUGUUGCAGUAGGUUUAAGCCAAUGUUGAAGUACUAUUUUUAGAUGUUUUGCAGUAUAUUUCAAUUUCUUCGGUCUGCAUGUUGCAGUAGUCGUUGUUGCAUGUGUGUUUCAGCGGUUGCUCGGUAUUAUUGUAACAAUAUCUUCUUGGUGUUUCAGAAGCUGCGGCUUAAUAUUUCAGUUGUUUUUUUUUGUUGUUGUAACAAUACAUUCAAAAUGUUUCAACUUCAUCAUCGCAAUGUUGGAGUUAUUAUCCUUUCAUGUUGUUGCAAUAUAUAUGUUUUAUGGUGUUUCAAAUA